rnacentral:rRNA from 1 species
GGAAUCUUGCGCAAUGGGCGAAAGCCUGACGCAGCGACGCCGCGUGGGGGAUGAAGGCCUUCGGGUUGUAAACCCCUUUCAGGAGGGAAGAAAUUGACAGUACCUCCAAAAGAAGGACCGGCCAACUACGUGCCAGCAGCCGCGGUAAUACGUAGGGUCCUAGCGUUAUCCGGAAUCAUUGGGCGUAAAGAGCUCGUAGGCGGUUCAGCAAGUCGGCUGUGAAAGUCCGAGGCUCAACCUCGGAAUUGCAGUCGAUACUGCUGUGACUCGAAUUCGGUAGAGGAGAAUGGAAUUCCACGUGUAGCGGUGAAAUGCACAGAUAUCAGGAGGAACACCUAUGGCGAAGGCAGCACUCUGGGCUGGUAUUGACGCUGAGGAGCGAAAGCAUGGGUAGCAAACAGGAUUAGAUACC